rnacentral:rRNA from 1 species
GACGAACGCUGGCGGCGUGCUUAACACAUGCCAGUCGAACGGGCCUGUCUUCUUUUUUGGGGGGUGGGUUGAGUGGCGAACGGGUGAGUAUCACGUGAGUAACCUGCCCUUCGGUCCUGGAUAACCGCUUGAAAGGGCGGCUAAUACGGGGUGGUCCGGUUGGUCCGCAUGGGCUGGUCGGGAUAGAUUCACUGUUUUUGGUGUUUCGGCGGGGGAUGGGCUCGCGGCCUAUCAGCUUGUUGGUGGGGUGAUGGCCUACCAAGGCGGUGACGGGUAGCCGGCCUGAGGGGGUGGGCGGCCACACUGGGACGGAGAUACGGCCCAGACUCCUGCGGGAGGCAGCAGUGGGGGGUAUUGCACAAGGGGAGGAAGCCUGAUGCAGCGACGUCGCGUGAGGGAUGGAGGCCUUCGGGUUGUGAACCUCUGUUUCCGGUGGUGAAGGCCCUGUCCGUGUGGUGGGGUUGACGGUAGCCGGGGAUGAAGCGCCGGCUAACUACGUG